CUCCGGGAUCUGAAGAUAAAGGAAUGAGUAAAUUUGUCUGCAUCCAGCUAUAUCCCCAGAGAGGCAUUCUCCACAGCAACUUGCUUUUCUUAAAUCUCUGCCCAUCUCCAUGUGUCAUCUUCCUGUUCAGGCUGACAGCUGGAUAGCAAGAGCAGUUCCAGCUCUCACGUUCACACAGAAUGCCAUCCAGAGACCAUACACCGCAGUUGCUCUCUGUUUGAAAGUGCAGACUGUGAAAGAGGAUGGCUUUUACAGAUGGACUGGCAUGAUGUGGAAGAGUCAGAAGCACAUGCGGAAUAAGCAGGGCCUGGAAGACGGGAGUGACCACAAGAUCAAAUGUCACCUAGGAGUUUGCCGAAAUCCUCGAGAGGACCUUGGACAUUCAUAUACUCUGAAAUUGAGGAUUUGAACCAAUCUUGGACAUUCAUAUACUGUGAAAUUGAGGAUUUGAGCGAUCAUAAG
rnacentral:lncRNA from 1 species